CCUACGGGUGGCAGCAGUGAGGAAUAUUGGUCAAUGGACGAGAGUCUGAACCAGCCAAGCAGCGUGAAGGAUGACUGCCCUAUGGGUUGUAAACUUCUUUUAUAAAGGAAUAAAACGAGGCACGUGUGCCUUUUUGCAUGUACUUUAUGAAUAAGGAUCGGCUAACUCCGUGCCAGCAGCCGCGGUAAUACGGAGGAUCCGAGCGUUAUCCGGAUUUAUUGGGUUUAAAGGGAGCGUAGAUGGGUUGUUAAGUCAGUUGUGAAAGUUUGCGGCUCAACCGUAAAAGUGCAAUUGAUACUGGCAGUCGUGAGUACAGUUGAGGUAGGCGGAAUGCGUGGUGUAGCGGUGAAAUGCUUAGAUAUCACGAAGAACCCCGAUUGCGAAGGCAGCUUACUAAACUGCCACUGACGUUGAUGCUCGAAAGUGUGGGUAUCAAACAGGAUUAGAUACCCCUGUAGUC
rnacentral:rRNA from 1 species